rnacentral:rRNA from 1 species
UAAGGAAUAUUGCUCAAUGGGAGAAAUCCUGAAGCAGCAACGCCGCGUGGAGGAUGAAGGGUCUAUGACUUGUAAACUCCUGUAAAGAAGGAAAAAAUUCCCAUUAGAUGGGAGAUGAUGGUACUUCUGGAGUAAGCCCCGGCUAACUACGUGCCAGCAGCCGCGGUAAUACGUAGGGGGCAAGCGUUGUCCGGAUUUACUGGGUGUAAAGGGUGCUCAGGCGGAUUUGUAAGUCAGAGGUGAAAUCUUACAGCUUAACUGUGAAACUGCCUUUGAUACUGCAAGCCUAGAGUAUGGAAGAGAGUGAUGGAAUAUCUGGUGUAGCAGUGAAAUGCGUAGAUAUCAGAUAGAACACCAAGGGCGAAGGCAGUCACUUGGUCCAUUACUGACGCUAAAGCACGAAAGCGUGGGUAGCAAACA